UACGUAGGGGGCAAGCGUUGUCCGGAAUCAUUGGGCGUAAAGAGCGUGUAGGCGGCUCGAUAAGUCUGCUGUGAAAAGUCCAGGGCUCAACCCUGGAAGGCCGGUGGAAACUGUCGGGCUAGAGUCCGGAAGAGGCGAGUGGAAUUCCCGGUGUAGCGGUGAAAAUGCGUAGAUAUCGGGAGGAACACCUGUGGCGAAAGCGGCGCACUGGACCACAUCUGACGCUGAGGCGCGAAAAGCUAGGGGGGAGCAAAACAGG
rnacentral:rRNA from 1 species